CCGGACGUAGCGCAGAGGCAGUCGCGCCGCCUUCUCAGGGCGGACACGCCGGUUCGAAUCCGGUCGUCCGGACCG
rnacentral:tRNA from 1 species